GUCUUGUAAUUGGAAUGAUGGUGACCUAAACCCUCACCAGAGUAACAAUUGGAGGGCAAGUCUGGUGCCAGCAGCCGCGGUAAUUCCAGCUCCAAUAGCGUAUAUUAAACUUGUUGCAGUUAAAAAGCUCGUAGUUGAAUUUCUGCGUUAUCGAGUUAUUGACUCUUGUCUUUAAUCGAUUUCGCUUUUGGGAUUUAUCCCUUUUUACUUUGAGAAAAUUAGAGUGUUUCAAGCAGACUUUUGUCUUGAAUACUUCAGCAUGGAAUAAUAGAGUAGGACUUUGGUUCUAUUUUGUUGGUUUUUGAACCUUAGUAAUGGUUAAUAGGAACGGUUGGGGGCAUUCGUAUUUAACUGUCAGAGGUGAAAUUCUUAGAUUUGUUAAAGACGAACUACUGCGAAAGCAUUUGCCAAGGACGUUUCCAUUAAUCAAGAACGAAAGUUAGGGGAUCGAAGACGAUCAGAUACCGUCGUAGUCCUAACC
rnacentral:rRNA from 1 species